AAGCGCCCUCUGCGGGAAUGAAGUCAUCCUACCCUUUUCUGGGUGCGCCCAGAUAACCGACCAGAGCGUUCCUUUCCCAAGCUCUGGGGCCUGAGGACUUCCAGCUACUCCACCAGGUUCUCAGGUCCUGGACUCCGUCCUAAUUCCUCACCUCCUACUGCGAGCCUUGCACAGGACGAGAGAAGGUUUGCCGUGACAGCAAAGAGCUUUGUUUCAUCUACAGUAGGAAAAUGUGCCAACCAGCCUGCGGGAGAGGCUCAGGAGGCUCCUGAAGCAGUGUGCCUGAAGGCAGCCGGGGGACCACAUUCGUGGCUGCAAGAUACACCUGAUGGGGCCACUUGCUCUUGGUCUGAAGCUGCAGAAGGAAAGAAAUGGCCAAUUCUGCAGUUAAAUAGUCCGGCAGAUAAAGGAAAGGCUGACAAAUCUACCUAGCAGCUGCCACUGCUAAGAGAGAAUGGCGCACCAUUUCCUCUAAAGAGUAGAAAUCACACAACAAACAGGGCCUGCAGAUUGUGGUUAUCAGUCUGGAUGCGAACUUGACCUAACACUGGAAAAAUGCAAAUCCACAAGCACAGAACUGAGACUUCCUAUCUGGUUAGCCAGCUGCUUCCAUACUCAGCCAUCGAUACGUUCUUCGAACUGGUCCUUCUCUUCCCUACAACUACCCAGUGACAACAGGGGUCUUCGGUCACUCAAGGCCAGAGACCUUGGCCUCUAGAGUAUGGAGGGAGCCAUCAGCUUGAUGCAAGCUCUUUGAAGCAGGAUAUAAAAACAUGAAGGCAACAGUCAGGCAUCAUAACAUUUUAUGGUGAACUGAAGAAACGCAGGCUUGCACAGGCCGGUUAACAUUUCAGAAGACAUGCCGGUGCUUGACCUAAAGCAAGGCGGCCCACAAGUGGACUGAAAAACAAUACUAGCUCUCUCUCACAGGGCUUGAGGAGGAGAGUGAUGAAGACGGUUUUUUUUUUUUUUUCCCCAGGUGGAAUAAAAACAAAAACAAAACCCAAAACCAACCAAACAAAAACACAGCCAAGAGGAUGGAGACCGAAGCAUUCCAUGUGGAGCCUCUACUGUUUUAGUUACCCUGAGAGAGGGGAGGACCCCUGACUUCAAUUGGAGAGAGACUACGUAUGCCCUUGGGAAGAAGGCAGCGUGGCUCUUUUCAGCCUGGAGCCGAACUGCUUCCAUGAGCCAGGCAUAAGGCUGCAAAGAGGACCAGAGGAGGAAAACACUGUAAUACUGAGAUAUCAGCAGGUUAACAAUUGUGAAUGCUUCCUUAGCUGGGUGAACCCAAUUCACCACCAGCAAGCAGGAAUUCACAGUAAAGAGUGAGCUCCAAGAACUAAACAGGCAGAGUUCUUUCUAGAAUAAACCAAGGUCGUUGUGGAGGUUGCUGGCAAGGAAGUCUGAAGUGGC
ensembl:lncRNA